rnacentral:pre_miRNA from 1 species
AAUGGAAUUUCUGGGUUAUAUGGUAACUACAUUUAACUUUUUGAGAAACUACCAAAUUCUUUUCCAAAGUGGCUGCACCAUUUUGUGUUUCCAUCUGCAAU